CCUACGGGAGGCAGCAGUGGGGGAUAUUGCACAAUGGGGGAAACCCUGAUGCAGCGACGCCGCGUGUGGGAAGACGGUCCUCUGGAUUGUAAACCACUGUCCCCAGGGACGAAGAUGACGGUACCUGGGGAGGAAGCUCCGCCUAACUACGUGCCAGCAGCCGCGGUAAUACGUGGGGAGCGGGCGUUGCCCGGAAUUACUGGGUGAAAGGGGAGCGUAGGCGGGACUGCAAGUUGGGUGUCAAAUCUACCGGCUCAACCGGUGGCCGCACUCAAAACUGCAGUUCUUGAGUGAAGUAGAGGCAGGCGGAAUUCCUAGUGUAGCGGUGAAAUGCGUAGAUAUUAGGAGGAACACCAGUGGCGAAGGCGGCCUGCUGGGCUUUUACUGACGCUGAGGCUCGAAAGUGUGGGGAGCAAACAGGAUUAGAUACCCGAGUAGUC
rnacentral:rRNA from 1 species